GCAAGUCGAGGGGUAACAUGAGUGCUUGCACUUGAUGACGACCGGCGCACGGGUGCGUAACGCGUAUGCAACCUACCUAUAACAGAGGGAUAGCCCAGAGAAAUUUGGAUUAAUACCUCAUGGUAUCAUUAGAUCGCAUGAGAAGAUGAUUAAAACUUUGGUGGUUAUAGAUGGGCAUGCGUCUGAUUAGAUAGUUGGUGAGGUAACGGCUCACCAAGUCAACGAUCAGUAGGGGGUCUGAGAGGAUGAUC
rnacentral:rRNA from 1 species